CACAACCGCCUCCAAUUUCUGCUACAUCAAUAUGUAAUCGCUCCCAAUCGGCCGCCAUGGUCUGCCAAGGCACCCGCCGCCAUUUAUCUCUGCUUGCCGCCCGAAUCCCCACACUGUCACUUUCCUCUGCUCCUCUCUCAUCUCUUAGUGCCUUCUGCUGUGCUGCUCUCUGCAUCAGAUCUAGCUGUCACCGGCGGCCGCUGGCACCUGUUCGAUGGGCGAAGGCGGCGAGGUGUGUCCUGAUGGGCCCGCUACCUAGGAUGGUCUAGGAGUGGGAGGAAGAGCUGGGGAACGUCAAGCUCAGGUGGUACGAGCAGUUGUGCCAGCACCAUCAAAACCCUUGUCCAACAUAACCUCAUCCUUGGCUGCCAUGGAAGUGAGAUACUACUGCAGUGAUUGUAUAACUAACCCACCAUGGAAGUAAGCUACCUACGUUGCUUCUAUGUUUCCUGUUAGCUAGAAUAAUGAGUGGACGUGUACAAGAUGAGUAUGUUUGUUUACAUAAAUCCAGGGUGUAAAAUAUGCUUACAAGGUGUUUGAUGGAAUGUUUAUGAGGCCAAAUUAGACCAGAUCUGAUUAUAAAUCGUACACUAUUGCAAGCAAUUAGAAUAAAAUCAUGUUUGAUAAGUUUUCUUGUAGUCUUCUCAACCUGUUUGGUAUAUAUGCUACGACAGGUUUGCAUCAUCGGAAACUUUUUGUAUAAGCUGAAGUGCCUAAGUUAGAUAGUUUACUCUUAGUAUAGUUUGAUCAGUAAGCAUCACAGGCACAUGUUGCAUCUGUUUGUGCCAGCGAGAUUGCAAGUGCACACAAGUUGUGGCCUCCAUUUGAUUUUGAUCAUCCAACUAUUUAUGUUGGGAGGGAUCAAGCUGCCUCCCUCAAAUGGACGAGUGUGUGAAGUAAUGGGACACUCGAUCAGUACUUAAUACUACUCUCAUCAUGGUUUGCUGGGAGAUCAGUAUUCAAUACUACUCUCAUCAUGGUGUGCUACAUUGAGAACGACAUAGCUAUACUAGGUUGUGAUAUUCUCAUCGCGAAUAUUGCAAAUUAUGUACAACAGAUAUGGGAUACACUACCAAAACAAAUUUAUCUGUGCAUACAAAGUUUUUUUUUUUGUUAAUUUUGUUCUUCAGGUUAGGACGUCUCUUUUGUGUUUCACAAAGCUAUUGCAGAUAGGACUCUAAUUUUAUUAUUCUUCUAAGGUAGCACUCUUAGUACCAUGUUUCCAAGUUCUUUUUGCCAAAAACUAUGUGAUUUGACUAAAGAAAUUAGUUUGCUUCAGUAUUGAUUAUGACUGCCAAUGCAAGCUUUUUUUUUUCCCUGGAGAAGGAGAAGUCUAGCAAGAAAUUCCACCAACAUAGCAGAGAAGGAAUGGCUUCCUCCAAGGGAGGAGGAGGAUUGGAGAUCGGCCACGUGACAGAGUGCAGUGAACUAUCUAUGUCUCUAA